CCACUGUCUCUAGUGAAUGCAGAAAGGCUUUGCUCACUCCAGCACAUGCCCCCAUCUUCUGUUAACUGAAAGUCUCAGGCAAGAGGCCCCACCUCCAAACCCAGCUUAAGUUCCCACCAUCUCAACAACAGACUCUGAGAAUUAAUCAGUCACCUGCCUGAGGCUGAGAAGCAGAGAAUGGCUAACACACUUCGCUAGAGGAGCCUGCGCUGCGUUUUGUGAGGGUCAUCCAUACUGUUCUCUACAAUGGCUGUACGGUUUGAUAUCCCUAGCAUUUGCACACAAGAAUUCAGUUUCUGAUCUUGCAUUGACUUCAUUUUACUCAGAUGUUUUGCUUUGUUUCAUUAAGGAAUUUAGCUUGUCCUCUUUUCUUUGAACUUAUAUAAUCACAUUGACUUCAAAAAAUUAAAAGAUGGCACAAUAUUCAUAAAGCAAUAAAUGUAACAUGUCAUAAAUUAUAUAUUAAAUAAGUAUAAUUAGGUGGAUACAAGGACAAAGAUUACAUGAACAUCUUAAUGAAUUAAAAAAGGCCUUUGAUUAAAAAAAAAAAUUCAGUUUCUGCCUAUUCUUACCAACUCCCCUUAUUUCCUGUUCUCAGAUUUGAGGGGUGGGGCACUCUUCCAAUGUGUGCAGGUGAUAUUUCAUUGAUUCUGCUGUCCCUGGUCCUUCUUCUCUGUGCUCUUUGGCCAUUUGUGCAUACUCUUUGAAGAAUUGUGAUUCAAGUCCUAUGCCUGCUUUGUUGUGUUUUUAUUGGUUUUAGAUUUAUUUAAUUCACGCAUAUGAAUAUUUUCCCUGCAUGAUGUCUAUGGUACAACAUGUGCUCCUAGUGCCCUCAGAAGAGGUCAGAAGAGAACACCAGAUCCCCUGAACCUGGAGUUAAGAUGGUUGGGAGCCACCGUAUGGGUGCAGGGAGAGCUCAUCUCUCAAGCUUCUAGGGAAUCAGUAGUAACAGCUGGUGGGGACCAUGUUGACAACAGAACUUGACGUAAGCCACGGCAAUAAUGUGAAUCAACAUAGAGUGAGAAUCUGUGGAGAAAGUUAACAACUGAGGGAUCUGAAAGAAGGCUGCGUGGGAUGAGGGGGCUCCUAACUUUCCUGACUGAUGAUCAAACAUCAGAUGAAAACGAUUCCUUCAGGUCAGAACAGGGGGUGAAUUAAUGUCAUACAUGAAGUACUCUCAACUUUUGCACUCAUUGACAAGAAAGGAAGAUGCGGUAAAGUAACAAACUGAGAAUUGUAAAUAAUGAAUGUGACCACUAGGUGGAGCCCGUGAACGUAUAGUCAUAAUCUCAGCCCAGGGCCCUAAGGUGCCGAAGCAGGAAGCGAAGGAAAAUCAAGAGUGGAAAAUAUAUCCCGUGCUUGCUGCCACAAGGCAAGAGUGUAGGAAAAACAAGCAACCGUCUGCUGAGACCCUGGUGCCCUUGUGGCUUUGAUCUGGGCUAGGAAAUCAGCACUUAGAGGAAGUCAGACUAAAGUCAAAACCAUGGACAGUUUCUCUUGACUAAGUUAAGCUCUUGCGCGGGAAGAUUGAACUAAAGUGCUAAGGGGUAAUCUUUGGCUCAUUGAUUCUUCUGAAAUCCUUUAAGUUCACCAGAUUCUGUGCUAAUUCCCUGUCUUUUUAUUUCAGCAUGAUUGCUCGACUUUUUUUUUUUCUUGUAGUCCUCGACUAGAGGCACAGUUAGACAAAUUAAAUUGACCCACCUUAGUAUAUGGUUUCAGAAGUAGGGUACUGGUCAGUGGUGGAGAAUAUACCUAGCACGUGCGAGGCCUUGAAUGGUAUUCCUAGCACUUUGAUCAAUGGACAAAUGAAUAGGAAUCUUCAGAAAUAGGGAUAUGCUGUUUCUUGGUGAUAUCUCCUGAAGAAGUAGGGUCAAGGUCCCUUCUGUGAUAGUGAGAGCUGUGGGAGCCAUGAAAGCUCACCUAGAGUGUGCUUAUGACAGCUGAAGAUGCCAAGGGUCCUGAUUUGAACAUGAAAUGCCCCGCCCCCAUGAACACUUGCUCCAAAGACAGUGGACUUAUUUUGCCAUUUCAGACAAACUUCAGGACUGUGGCCUUAUUGUGGGAGGUAGGUCGCUACAGACAGGCUUUGAAAGUUAAUCUUGGUUCACUAAUUAAGAAAAUGUCCAAAAAGAAAAAAGAAAAUGUCCUACUGGCUUGCCUACAUCCUGAUUUUAUAGAGGCAUCUUCUUUCUUUUUCCUUCUUUUUUAAAUGUUUUUUUUUAUUUUCAUUUUAUGUGACUUGAUGUUUUCCCUGCAUGUGUGUCUUGUGAGGGUGUUGGAUCUCCUGAAACUGGAGUUACAGACCACUGUGAGCUGUCAUUUGGGUGCUGGAAACUAAGCCCGGCUCUUCUGGAAGAACAGCCAGCGUUCUUAACUGUUGAACUAUCUCUCAAGCCCCUACAGGCAUUUUCUUAAAUGUAAUUCCCUCCUCUCAGGUAUGACAUAAAACAUGCGUCAAGUUAACAUAAAACUGUCUAGCACAUAGAGUAACUCACAGAUAUUUAAAGAUGAAGAAAUGAGAUCAGAGGGGACAAGUUCUUUACCCAGAGUCACACAGGUCAUCCAAGUCAGAAGGAAAACUUAAAACCAGCACUUCUCACUCGUAGUAUCUCGGGCUUUCCCUUCCCACUGUGAAAUCACUUCAAAUGAUCUCUAAGUUCAUGUGAGGAGAGAAGGGGACAUGUACAGAGUUCCAGGAGAUAUUAGAAGAUGAACCAGAUAGGUGAUCAAUUUCCCCUCUGAUGCGGAUUUCCUGCAGAGACCUGGGGUCAUUUCUGAUGUGUUGAAAUCACGAAGCUUCCUUUAUAAGAGCCGUACUAAGAUGGAGACAAAGGCGGAGGAGUGGUGUGAGAGAGAAAUGAGUCGUGCCCUCCAUUUGUUCUCCCUGUUGUGGAAAGAUACAGAACACUACCUAUUGACUCGCAAUUAUGAAAAGUGCCAGCUAAGUAGGAAACUGAUUCAGAAUUUAGGCAAUAGGACAUUUUUAAAACAUUCACCAUACAUUAGAUCUUAAUUAAAAUCUAUACUCCUGAUUUAGUGAAGACUUUACAGGGUUAAAACGAACUCUAAUCGCAUAUAUGUGCACAUGUUUUGGGGUUGGAGGCAGGCUCUUAUGUUGCCCAGGCUAUCCUCGAACUUCUCAUUCACCUCCCCCAACCUCCCAAGUACUGGGAUAGUAGGUAUAGUCUAUCAUAUCCCAGUAGAGAAUAUUUUGGAAUAGAUUAGUUAUUGUCAAAUACAUUUUCUACCCUUUAAUGUUAGUAUAAUUUUACUUUUAUUUUUUAUUUUAAUUAUUUUAUUUAUUUACAUUCCUGUAGUUGAUCCCCUCUCCAUCCCCCCUCCCACAGUUCCUCACCCCAUUCCUCCUCCUCUUUCCCUUCAACUGACUGCUCCCACCACCACCACCACCAUCAGGCCUCCUUCUUCCCUGGGACCUCAAGUCUCUCAAGGAUUAAGCAUAUUUUCUCCCGCUGAGGCCAGACCAGGCAGGCAUCUGCUAUAUAUGUGCCAGGAGCCCCAGACUGACUCAUGUAUGCUCCUGGUUGGUGGCUCGGUCUCUGGAAGCUCCCCGGGGCCGGGUUAGUUGAGACUGCUAGUCUUCUUCAGUCCAAUGGUUGGGUGUAAGCAUCUGUGUCUGUCCCAGUCAGCUGCUGGCAGGGCUUCUCAGAGGACAGCCCUGCCAAGUGCCCCUCUAUAAGCACAUCAUAGCAUCAGUAAUGCCCAUCAUAGCAUCAGUAAUUGUAGAGGGCUGCAAUAACAUUCGCAACCACUAGUUGGCGUGGUCUUCCACUGCACCCCACGUGGUAGGUCAGGAUAGACUCCGCCAUUGCAAGAUGGCUCCAACCUUCGCCGCGCCAGCCGGCCCCCCCUUUCAGGUAGUUAACUGUGCGCAUGUGCAAGAGUGCCUUCCUGCCAGGUCUUUGCCCAUUCCAGGGCGUGCCUGAUGAGAUCAUGAGUAAGCAACCAAUCAGGUGUGGAUGCGUGCUCGAGGGUUAAAUAGGCGCGCCUGGCCAGCGCGAGGGGCUUCUCCAUGAGAUAGGAAUAAAGUAUCACUCAUAGCAAGAAUUUCUAUGUCUCGCGUGCUUCUUGCCGGCGGAAAGUCGCGCGCGGGACAAGUAAUGCCCAUCAUAGCAUCAGUAAUGCCCAUCAUGGCAUCAGUAAUGCCCAUCACAGCAUCAGUAAUGCCCAUCAUGGCAUCAGUAAUUCCCAUCAUAGCAUCAGUAAUUCCCAUCAUAGCAUCAGUAAUGCCCAUCAUAGCAUCAGUAAUGCCCAUCAUAGCAUCAGUAAUGCCCAUCAUGGCAUCAGUAAUGCCCAUCAUAGCAUCAGGAAUGCCCAUCAUGGCAUCAGGAAUGCCCAUCAUGGCAUCAGUAAUGCCCAUCAUGGCAUCAGGAAUGCCCAUCAUGGCAUCAGGAAUGCCCAUCAUAGCAUCAGGAAUGCCCAUCAUAGCAUCAGUAAUGCCCAUCAUAGCAUCAGUAAUGCACAUCAUAGCAUCAGGAAUGCCCAUCAUGGCAUCAGGAAUGCCCAUCAUGGCAUCAGGAAUGCCCAUCAUGGCAUCAGUAAUGCCCAUCAUAGCAUCAGGAAUGCCCAUCAUGGCAUCAGUAAUGCCCAUCAUGGCAUCAGGAAUGCCCAUCAUGGCAUCAGGAAUGCCCAUCAUAGCAUCAGGAAUGCCCAUCAUAGCAUCAGUAAUGCCCAUCAUAGCAUCAGUAAUGCACAUCAUAGCAUCAGGAAAGCCCAUCAUGGCAUCAGUAAUGCCCAUCAUGGCAUCAGGAAUGCCCAUCAUGGCAUCAGGAAUGCCCAUCAUGGCAUCAGUAAUGCCCAUCAUAGCAUCAGGAAUGCCCAUCAUGGCAUCAGGAAUGCCCAUCAUGGCAUCAGGAAUGCCCAUCAUAGCAUCAGGAAUGCCCAUCAUGGCAUCAGUAAUGCCCAUCAUAGCAUCAGGAAUGCCCAUCAUGGCAUCAGGAAUGCCCAUCAUGGCAUCAGGAAUGCCCAUCAUGGCAUCAGUAAUGGCGUCAGGCCUUGUUGCAUCCCCGUGAGAUGGAUUCCAAGUCGGGCCAGUCACUGGACCACCUUUCCUUCAGUCUCUUCUCCAUUUCUGUCCCUGCGGUUCUUUUAAACAGGAACAAUUUUGACUGUGGGUUAGUAACACCAUCCCUCUGCUUGAGGCCCUGUCUAUCUACUGGAGGUGGACUCUUCGAGUUCCCUCUCCCCAGUUUUGGGCAUUUUGGGUAAUGUCACCUCCAUUGAGUCCUAAAAGUCACCCACCUCCUGGGUCUCUGGUGCUUUUUACAGGGUCCCCCCACUCCCCAAGGCUGCUUAUUUCCUUUCAUUCUCCUAACCCUCUGGGCUUCUCUCCUGCUCCCCACCCCAUACCUGAUCCUUUUCUCCUUUACCCCUCCCCUCUCUCACCCAGGUCCCUCCCUCCCUCUGCCUCCAUGAUUAUUUUCUCCCCCCUUCUAAGUGGGAUUGAAGCAUCCUCACUUGGACCUUUCUGCUUGUCGCACUUCUUAUGGUCUGUAGGGUGUAUCCUAGGUAUUCUGUACUUUUUGACUAACAUCCACUUAUCAAUGAGUACAUACCAUGCAUGUCCUUUUACAUCUGAGUUGUCUCAGGAUAUUAUCUAGUUCCCUCCAUUUGCCUGAAAAUUUCACGAUGUCCUCAUUUUUAACAGCUGAGUAGUAUUUCCUCGUGUGGAUGAACCACAUUUUCUGUAUCCAUUCUUCAGUUGAGGGACAUCUGGAUUGUUUCUAGCUUGUGGCUAAUACAAAUGAGGCUGCUGUGAACAAAGUAGAGCAGGUGUCCUUGUGGUAUGGAGGGACAUCUUUUGGGUAUAUGCCCAAGAAUGGUAUAGCUGGGUCUUCGAGUAGAACUAUUUCCAAUUUCGUGAAGAACUGCCAGAUUUAUCAAUUGAUGAUCUUAGAGCCUGAGCCAUUGGAGUUCUGUUCAGGAACCCCCACCCCAACCCCACCCCAUGCCAAUGAGUUUGAGGCUCUUGUCCACUUUCUCUUCUAUUAGAUUCAGUGUAUCUGUUUUUGGAGGUGUUUGAUCCACUUGGACUUGAGCUCUGGGCAAAGUGAUAAAUAUGGAUAUAGCUCCAUUCUUCUACAUACUGACCGCCAGUUAGAACAGCAUUGCCUGAAGAUGCUUCCUCCUUCCACUCUGUUUUUGCCUUCUUUGUCAAAGAUCAAGUGUCCAUAGGUGUGUGGGUUUACAUCUCGGUCUUGGAUUCUAUUUCAAUUAUCGACCUGUCAGUCUCUAUAACAAAUACCAUGCAGUUUUUAGACACCUGACUAAUUCUACCUCUGCCUCCCCUCCCACUGUACACACUGGGAUUACAAAUGUGUGUCACCAUGUGCAGCUGCUUCCGGGUGCGUUCCAAACUCGGGUGGUCAGGCUUGUGUGAUACGUUUCGGUUGGGACUUAGUUUUUCUCUCCUUUUGGUUUUUGUUAUUGUUGUUUUGUUUUGCUUUGCUUUGUUUUGUUUUACCAGCUGAGCCCAAAGUUAAAAGCAACUUAACUGUGUUUCUCAUGAUAGUGGCUUCCGAGAGAUUUCACUAAGCACUUACACAGUCACUGUGACACUAUCUGCACCAGAUAGAGAACAAGCCAGGCAUUGUGACCCUCAUCUACAAUCCCAGCAGGAAGAUCAAGAAUUCAAGGUCAUUCCCGGCUGUGUGCACGUUUGAUUUCAGAUGGAGUUACAUAAGACUCUGGUUUAAAAAUCAGACAAGAAAUGGGGAAAGACAGGAAGGUGCAAGAGGGGAGGGUUGAGGAGGCCAAGAAUAUUGGGGCUAUAAAUGAGAGAAUUAUGUCUAAACCUCAUCCUGUUUAACUCGUUUUUCUUUGCUGUUUGACAGGUUUGACCAAAACUCACUGCAAACUAAUGAGUUUAUAAAUACUUAUGAGUGCUGUUACAGUAUCUUAAAAUCCCUAAGAGUCUUUCCUAGGACAAGCGUGCUUAGUCAUUUUGUUUAUAGUGUAAAUAUGCCUAGCAAACUCUUUCGGUAAUUCACAGGUAAGUUUCAAAACACAUAUUUUUCCCUUUUGCUGUGCAGUAUGCAAACCUAUGAACAAAAAUGGGAUACGAUUAAUAUAUUUCCAUUUAAAAUAAAGCUUCAGAAAACCUGCUGGCAAUUGUUUCUAUUUUUCUUUAUUGUCCAGGCACCUGUAGUUAGUAUGCCUUGCCUCAUUAGGAAAAGUAAUUGGAAUAUGGCUGUUUAAAAAGCUAAUGCAUCAUUUUAACAGGUUUAUCCUUUUUUUAACCCCAGUAAAAGCUUGAAAAAAAUAGACACGCCAUGAGAAUGCAAUCUGGGGAAGCAGAUUUUGAGAAAGUAUUAGAAGUCUCAAUACAGACACACACCUGUCAUCUAAGAAAGGUCUCCUUAUGUAGCCAGGACACAUGGAACAACUGGAGACCCUCCUGCCUCUGCCUCCCAAAUGCUGGAUUACAGUCCAACAGUGACUGUCUGCCAACGUAUGAUCAAAGAUCUCCAUACUUGUUCAUCACACAAGGCUGGAUGGCAUGGCUAAUCUUCAGUGUGUGCUGGAAUCCCAAAGUAGACGCUAAUGCUAGUGAAGGGAUGGACUUGCCACCAGGAUCGAAGGGAGGCCGGAAGAAAGACACUUAAGCACCUGUCUUGAGCAUCACUACAGUGGCCAAAUGUGUGGUGAAGAGACAGGAGUAUGUGGUCAAGAGAUAGAAGAGAAAGCAAAGCUGAGGUCUUCAUGUUCUGUGGAGAAAAGUGGAACUGAAGACUCAACAGCGGUGAGGAACAGACAGAUAUGAGGAGGCCAUGGUAAGGUCCUGGCCUGGGCUGCCACCAAGGGCCACAUCUGUGUCUCUGGUUUUGCUGCAGCUGUAGCCCGAGUUACCACCAAAGGCCAAGCAGAUGUCCAUGAUCUGGGCUGACACCGUGUGAAUAUCUGAGGACCUGGUGCCAUAGGGGAGAGAAAAUGUUGAUCUGCGUGGCCUGGGCUGCCACCUGAGGCCAUGGGGACAUCUGGGACCAUGCUACUGCCAGGGGCCAUGUCUGGUUCUGAAGUCCUAUGGAAACAGGGUCUGUGCUGAAGUUCCCUGUUAUACUUGUCUUAGGGUUUUAUUGUUAUGAACAGACAUCAUGACCAAGGCAAGUCUUAUAAGGACAACAUUUAAUUGGAACUGGCUUACUGGUUCACUUGUUCAAUCUAUUAUCAUCAGCAAGGCAGGAACAUGGCAGCAUCUGGUCAGGCAUGGUACAGGAGGAGCUGAGAGUUCUACAUUUUCAUCUGAAGGCUGCUUGCAGAAUACUGGCUUCCAGACAGCUAGGAUAAGAGUCUUAUAGUCCACACCCACGGUGACACACCUACUCCAACAGGGCCACACCUUCUAAUGCUCAGCUCCCUGGGUCGAGCAUAUACAAACCAUCACAACAUCAAAGAUCAUGCAAAUGUCCCUGGGCUGAACUGAGGCACUGUGCUAAGCAACACCACUCCUCUAGCCCACCACACUCAAGAGAGCUGGCCCCAACCCUCAUCUGCUGUGGGGUGGCUUGGGAGAGGAAAGAGAUACCCUCCCCCCACCAUCUGCAGCAGGCAGCAUAGCUGUCCCUGAGGUCUUGAGAGCAGGAGAACUCCUACAGAACUCAGAAGAGUCAACACUGCACCUCCCCUAGGCAGUAGAGCUGUGGCAGAGGUGCGUGAGAGUGAGCCCGUCUGACGACAUGAUCAAGGAAGAACCGGCGUGGCCUCUCCUCUGCUGUGAGGUGGCACGGGUGAGAGAGAGCUAUGACUGCCCCACCCUAGCCCCAACUCACCCCUCUCUGCCUGCGGCAUACCAGUGAGCUGGCCUGCAGGUCCUGAGUCCAAGAGAGCUGGGCCCCACCCCUCAUCACCUUCAGCCCUUGGGAAAGCGGGCCCUGCAACUGCCCUGAGCAGCACAGUAGAGCUGGCCCUGGCGGGCAGGAGGCAGAGAGCACAGGGGUGAGCUGGCACUAAGGGCAUGAAAGCAGGAACGCGGACCCUGCUGCUUACCAGCCUCAGUACUGAGUGAGCGAGCCAGCGCAGUUCUGGAAAGCUCACCCUGGUACGGAGGUGCUGGAGAACAGGCUGACUGACCAGAUACUUCAGAUACCUCCCAGGCCCAGAUCCAGGGUGUUGUCGGCCCACCCCAACAUCUACCCCAUCUAUAAGCUAUCAGAGCAUGUAAAGGGCUAGUCUUGAAAAUCCAACACUGCAGGAUCUCCAUGACCCAGGGCAACAACAGGAUAUCCACGAGGUGUCCCCGUGAGGAUCCAGUAUUGAUAGAGUAGACGCCAGAGGCCCCAGACCAGACCAAUGACUCACUGAAAUGAACAUUUGCAAGCAAAGAUGUGUGGACAGCAGGGUACACUGUGUGACGCACUGUGACACACACUGCAGCUUCCACAAUGAGAUUUUUUUCUAUCUUUAUUUUAUUUUGGAUGGGUUACGAGGCCAGAAAGCAGGUACAAAGGGAUAGGGAAAUAAGUGGGAAUGAUGUGAAGUUCCAAAAGAACCAAUAAAAAGUUUUUAAAAAUUAACAUUCAGUUAUACUAUCAAUACGGUUUGUCCAUUACUUAUUUUCAUAAAACUGCCCCUUUUUUAAAAUUUGAUUUUGACCCUUUUGAGGCCUCAAAUUCAUAAUCCUCCAUUCCCGUCUGCUAAAAGCAAGGAUUGUGGAAGUCUGUCAUCAUUCUUGAAUCACAGAGCUGUUAGCAAGUAAAGCACACACACCGCAAAUGCUAAACCUCCUUCCUUGACACUCAGGCUCCUCUCCCUGAAGUAAUCGCUCGGGUCAGUUUUUAGUUAUCAGAAGAUAAUCUGCGCACAUGUAUGCCACAUGUGUGUGUGUUGGUAUAGGAAUUGAAGUUUGUACAUUAGGGUUCAAAGUGAAGGAAAAACCCUUUACUUUCAAACGAGUCUUGUUUUUCUCAGGAGCCCUUAUUUCUCGUGAUUUAGAAGAGCAAACUUUUGAGCUGGCUACCUCUGGUCCCCUUUGGCACAGCUUGCCCAGCCUUUUCCAUUCUGCCAGCUGCCUCCUGCCACUCUCAGGUGUGUUGGCAGGGUAUGGGUGCCACCGUGGCGGUGCCGGGGAGCUCCUGACAUAAAAGCUGUCCUCUUCCAAUUUGUUUUCUUCUGUUUUGCUUUUAGACAGACUCUUCCUGUGUAGCUAAGCUGGCGCAGAACUCAUAUUGAUCCUUCUGCUUCCUAAAUGCCUGGGUCAAAGGCUAUUCCACUGCACCCAGCCCCUGGUGACUAGUAACUGCCAUCUUGUUCCUCCCACAGGACCUCAUGAGUACAAAUAUAGGCACCCAGCGUGGUUUGGAGGCUUGUCCUUCUAGGAUCUGAGUCUAGGUUUUGAUUACUCUUGGAAAAUAAGCCAUAUCCUCCACCUACCAGACCCUCCUCACCUGCUACAGACACCAAAAGAGUCAACAUAAUCCCUGGUCCCUAAGACUCCCUUCUCUCUUUUCUUAGUCCAAUUCUGUCACCAACUAGCUAGAUACAGUUCUCGAACUUUUCUAGUUUUAGGGUCAUCUUACCUUAAGAUUUAACAACAAUCUAGUCAUGUCCCAGCCCCAUGUAAAAUGGCACAACACCCCUCCGAGAGUCUUGAGAGAAUGUUUAUGCUUCGCAUUGAAUUUCUCUCUCCCCGUUCUUCAUCUCACCCAAAACAAUUUGUUGUUCCUCUAAAACAGUUUGUGUCUCAAAUGGACAACACCAUCCAGCCAUUCCCCUCUGAACGCUGCUGACCAUGUGUGCAUGUUUUACUGACCACCUUGCUAUGUAUGCGUGCUGUAGUGUGUGUUCACACUGUGUGCACUCUUCACUAAUCAUUCGUGUUAUGUGUGCAGGCUUCACUGCUUGCUCAGACGGAGUGUGCGUACUUUGUUGUUCAUUAUGUUGUGUGUGUCAACUUCACUGUUGAUUUAGAUUGUGUAUGCAUGCUUUACUGCCUAUUCCUACUGUGUGCACAUGCUUUACUGUUCACUCCUACUGUGCGUGCAUGCUUUACUGCUCACUCCUACUGUGUAUGCACACUUUACUGCCUACUCCUACUGUGUGUGCAUGCUUUAUUUACUACUCACUCCUACUGUGUGUGCACACUUUACUGCCUAUUCCUAUUGUGUGUGCAUGCUUUAUUUACUACUCACUCCUACUGUGUGUGCAUGCCUAAGCUCACCCCUACUGUGUGUGCAUGCUUAAGUGCUCACUCCUACUGUGUGUG
ensembl:lncRNA